GGGGGGUUUGGAUCAUGGCUCAGGACGAACGCUGGCGGCGUGUCUAAUACAUGCAAGUCGUACGACAGAAGUCAGGUAUCAGAGGUCAGAGGCCGGAGUAAAGGUCUCUCUAGGAAGUCUAAAUUGAAAGCAUCGUCGAGAUGUCUUUUUAUCUGAUUUCCGGCUUCCGAUAUCUGACUUCUGGAGUGGCGGACGGGUGAGUAACACGUGGGCAACCUGCCCCUUAGACUGGGAUAACAUCGAGAAAUCGGUGCUAAUACCGGAUAAUAGAUGAAACUGCAUAGUUUCAUUUUAAAAGAUGGCUCCGGCUAUCACUAGGGGAUGGGCCCGCGGCGCAUUAGCUAGUUGGUAAGGUAAUGGCUUACCAAGGCGACGAUGCGUAGCCGACCUGAGAGGGUGAUCGGCCACACUGGGACUGAGACACGGCCCAGACUCCUACGGGAGGCAGCAGUAGGGAAUCUUCCGCAAUGGACGAAAGUCUGACGGAGCAACGCCGCGUGAGUGAUGAAGGAUUUCGGUUCGUAAAGCUCUGUUGUUAGGGAAGAACACGUGCCGUUCGAAUAGGGCGGCACCUUGACGGUUACCUAACCAGAAAGCCACGGCUAACUACGUGCCANCAGCCGCGGUAAUACGUAGGUGGCAAGCGUUUGUCCGGAAUUAUUGGGCGUAAAGCGCGCGCCAGCCGGUCUUUUAAGUCUGAUGUGAAAAGCCCACGGU
rnacentral:rRNA from 1 species